rnacentral:rRNA from 1 species
CAGGGAUUGCCUCAGUAACGGCGAGUGAAGCGGCAACAGCUCAAAUUUUAAAGCCGGCGUCCUCGACGCCCGCGUUGUAAUUUGGAGAGGCAUCUUCGGUUUGGGCGCCAGCCUAUGUUCCUUGGAACAGGACGUCACAGAGGGUGAGAAUCCCGUGCUUGGCUGGCUGUCCCUCUCCAUGUGAAGUGUCUUCGACGAGUCGAGUUGUUUGGGAAUGCAGCUCAAAAUGGGUGGUAAAUUUCAUCUAAAGCUAAAUAUUGGCGGGAGACCGAUAGCGCACAAGUAGAGUGAUCGAAAGAUGAAAAGCACUUUGAAAAUAGAGUUAAAAAGUACGUGAAAUUGUUGAAAGGGAAGCGCUUGAGACCAGACUCGGUCGGGGACGAUCAGCGGCCCUUCUGGGCCGUGCACUCGUCCUCGGUUCGGGCCAGCAUCGGUUGAGGCGGCGGGAUAAAGGCCCGGGGAAUGUGGCUCCUCUCGGGGAGUGUUAUAGCCUCGGGCGCAAUGCCGCCAGCCUCGACCGAGGACCGCGCUCUUUUGCUAGGAUGCUGGCGUAAUGGUCUUCAGCGACCCGUCUUGAAACACGGACCAAGGAGUCUAACAUCUAUGCGAGUGUUUGGGUGUCAAACCCUUGCGCGUAAUGAAAGUGAACGGAGGUGGGAACCCCUCCUCUGGGGGGGCGCACCAUCGACCGAUCCUGAUGUCUUCGGAUGGAUUUGAGUAGGAGCAUAGCUGUUGGGACCCGAAAGAUGGUGAACUAUGCCUGAAUAGGGUGAAGCCAGAGGAAACUCUGGUGGAGGCUCGCAGCGGUUCUGACGUGCAAAUCGAUCGUCAAAUUUGGGUAUAGGGGCGAAAGACUAAUCGA